rnacentral:rRNA from 1 species
CACGUAGGGCGCAAGCGUUGUCCGGAAUUAUUGGGCGUAAAGAGCUCGUAGGCGGUCUGUUGCGUCCGCUGUGAAAACCCGGGGCUUAACCCUGGGCUGGCAGUGGAUACGGACAGACUAGAGGUAGGUAGGGGAGAAUGGAAUUCCCGGUGUAGCGGUGAAAUGCGCAGAUAUCGGGAGGAACACCGGUGGCGAAGGCGGUUCUCUGGGCCUUACCUGACGCUGAGGAGCGAAAGCGUGGGGAGCGAACAGGG